UAGAGUUUGAUCCUGGCUCAGAAUCAACGCUGGCGGCGUGCCUCAGACAUGCAAGUCGAACGAUUAAGACUCUCUUCGGAGAGUGUAUAAAGUGGCGCACGGGUGAGUAACACGUAAGUAAUCUGCCCUCGAGUGGGGAAUAACAUCGGGAAACCGAUGCUAAUACCGCAUAACGCAGCGGCACCGCAAGGUGACAGUUGUUAAAGGAGCAAUCCGCUUGAGGAGGAGCUUGCGGCAGAUUAGCUAGUUGGUGAGGUAAUGGCUCACCAAGGCUACGAUCUGUAUCCGGCCUGAGAGGGCGGUCGGACACACUGACACUGAAUAACGGGUCAGACUCCUACGGGAGGCAGCAGUCGGGAAUUUUGGGCAAUGGGCGAAAGCCUGACCCAGCAACGCCGCGUGAGGGAUGAAGUAUUUCGGUAUGUAAACCUCGAAAGAAUGGGAAGAAUAAAUGACGGUACCAUUUAUAAGCUCCGGCUAACUACGUGCCAGCAGCCGCGGUAAUACGUAGGGAGCAAGCGUUGUUCGGAUUUACUGGGCGUAAAGGGCGCGUAGGCGGCGCGGUAAGUCACUUGUGAAAUCUCUGAGCUUAACUCAGAACGGCCAAGUGAUACUGCUGUGCUAGAGUGCGGAAGAGGCAACCGGAAUUCUUGGUGUAGCGGUGAAAUGCGUAGAUAUCAAGAGGAACACCUGAGGCGAAGGCGGGUUGCUGGGC
rnacentral:rRNA from 1 species